UGGGGAAUCUUGCGCAAUGGGCGGAAGCCUGACGCAGCGACGCCGCGUGCGGGACGAAGGCCUUGGUCGUAAACCGCUUUCAGCAGGGACGAGGCCCUCACGGUGACGGUACCUGCAGAAGAAGCCCCGGCUAACUACGUGCC
rnacentral:rRNA from 1 species